rnacentral:rRNA from 1 species
UACGUAGGGGGCCAGCGUUGUCCGGACUUACUGGGCGUAAAGCGCGUGUAGGCGGCCAGGGAGGUCCGUUGUGAAAACUCGAGGCUCAACCUCGAGACGCCGAUGGAAACCCCCUGGCUAGAGUCCGGAAGAGGAGAAUGGAAUUCCUGGUGUAGCGGUGAAAUGCGCAGAUAUCAGGAAGAACACCCGUGGCUAAGGCGGUUCUCUAGUACGGUACUGACGCUGAGACGCGAAAGCGUGGGGAGCGAACAGG